rnacentral:rRNA from 1 species
CGGGACGGGUGAGUAAUGUAUGGGGAUCUGCCUGAUGGCGGGGGAUAACUACUGGAAACGGUAGCUAAUACCGCAUAAUGUCUACGGACCAAAGAGGGGGACCUUCGGGCCUCUUGCCAUCGGAUGUGCCCAGAUGGGAUUAGCUAGUAGGUGGGGUAACGGCUCACCUAGGCGACGAUCCCUAGCUGGUCUGAGAGGAUGACCAGCCACACUGGAACUGAGACACGGUCCAG